rnacentral:rRNA from 1 species
UGGGGAAUUUUGGACAAUGGGGGAAACCCUGAUCCAGCCAUCCCGCGUGUGCGAUGAAGGCCUUCGGGUUGUAAAGCACUUUUGGCAGGAAAGAAACGUCAUGGGUUAAUACCCCGUGAAACUGACGGUACCUGCAGAAUAAGCACCGGCUAACUACGUGCCAGCAGCCGCGGUAAUACGUAGGGUGCAAGCGUUAAUCGGAAUUACUGGGCGUAAAGCGUGCGCAGGCGGUUCGGAAAGAAAGAUGUGAAAUCCCAGAGCUCAACUUUGGAACUGCAUUUUUAACUACCGGGCUAGAGUGUGUCAGAGGGAGGUGGAAUUCCGCGUGUAGCAGUGAAAUGCGUAGAUAUGCGGAGGAACACCGAUAGCGAAGGCAGCCGCCUGGGAUAACACUGACGCUCAUGCACGAAAGCGUGGGGAGCAAACAGG